UACAGAGGUCCCAAGCGUUGUUCGGAAUCACUGGGCUUAAAGGGCGCGUAGGCGGGCUGCCAAGUCUGGGGUGAAAUCCUUCGGCUCAACCGGAGAACGGCCUCAGAUACUGGCGAUCUCGAGGAGGGUAGGGGCAUGCGGAACUAUGGGUGGAGCGGUGAAAUGCGUUGAUAUCCAUAGGAACUCCGGUGGCGAAGGCGGCGUGCUGGACCCUUUCUGACGCUGAGGCGCGAAAGCCAGGGGAGCAAACGGG
rnacentral:rRNA from 1 species